GCCUGGGUGGAUCAGUCAGUUGAGCAUCCGACUUCAGCUCAGGUCAUGAUCUCGCGGUCCGUGAGUUCGAGCCCCACCUCGGGCU
rnacentral:tRNA from 1 species